rnacentral:rRNA from 1 species
UACGUAGGGUGCAAGCGUUGUCCGGAAUUAUUGGGCGUAAAGAGCUCGUAGGUGGCCUGUCGCGUCGGCUGUGAAAACUCGGGGCUCAACUCCGAGCUUGCAGUCGAUACGGGCAGGCUAAGAGUUCGGCAGGGGAGACUGAAAUUCCAGGUGUAGCGGUGAAAUGCGUAGAUAUCUGGAGGAAUACCGGUGGCGAAGGCGGCAUCCUGGACCGGCAUUGACGCUGAGGAGCGAAAGCCAGGGGAGCCAAAGCGGGG